rnacentral:siRNA from 1 species
GGAGAUUUUUCAGAUUGUG